AAGCACGUAUGAUUUGGUCAAUGAAUACUUACCCCAUACCCGGAAUAUUGAUUUUAAUCCCUUGACUUACCAUGGUCAGGUAAAUACAUUCCCUAUUUGCACAUAGAUCCUCAUUGUUUUUAGCCGAGGGAGUAUGAUGGCUGGCAUGACAUCACAUGGCAAAUAGGAAACUAUGAACUCUGGCAUCUCUAAUAUGGUUUGACUGGACAUAGUGGAGUCAUGAAAUAUCUUUCUAUCACAAUGAGAAGUAAACUACCUCAUGGCCCUCGAAUGCUGGCUAAUCGGCCUCUUCUUUGGAACGGAGGAAAUACCAGUAUCAUUCUCAUAUUAAAGGUAUACUGUUUGCCAAUUUUUAUUUUUUAUUUUUGUCAAGUUGUAAAUGUAGCAUUGACUGGUAAGUAAAAUAAGUUUAACUGCCAUGGUCUGUCAAAUUUUUGAAUAGGUUUAAGCUUUUACAAUGCAAUGUACAGUUUAAUUUAGACCAUUGAUUGGCAAUUGGCAAUUUUUUGCGAACUCAAAUUGUUCUCGCAAAAGUAUUACAACGCUUUUAAUUGGCUUUGAAGGUAUUAAAUUUUAACUUUUAAGUACCUAAUUAUUAUCAAACACCUCUUUUGCUACAUUAUAAAAACUACUGUAAUGUGCAAUCUUCAUCACUUUUGCUUAUUAUAAGUUCAUGAUGAGAUGCUUAAUGGGAAGUGAAAGACAUAGAUUCUUAGUGGUGAUUAUUUUCUAUAAUUUUUUCACAUAUAAAAAACUAUGGUAAUGUGUAAUACAUAGAUUCUUAGUGGUAAUCAUUUUCAUCACUUUUGCUUAUUAUAAGUUCAUGAUGAGAUGUUUAAUGGGAAGUGGAAGACAUAGAUUCUUAGUGGUGAUUUGGUGCGAGCUGGAUUGACAAACUGAAGCAAGCAAUAAAAACUAAAUUCAGGCUUGUGUUUGAGGACAAUUGUGAUACUGGUACAGGAUACCACCAUUCCUUCAGGCAGAUUUGUUAUCAAUUUUAUAUAAGAGUUAUAUUUUAUUUCAAACUUCAAAUAAUUAUUUUUCCUUUGGACAGAGCAAAUAUUAUAUUUUUCCCUUAUGUUCUUUGUUGCUCGAAAACAUGAAAGAUUAAGGAGAAGAUCAGUACAACCGAUGAAACAAAAAACUUCUUCCCCUGACGUGACAGCUUAAAUUGCAAAAUAGAGCAUUCCAGAACAGAGCAAGAGUGCAACAAGCUAUGUUGGGGAAAAAGAUGCUAAAUUUAAAGAUGUUACAAUGGAAAUAGGAAAAGAUGGAAUGGGAUUCGCAGGGAAAGUAGUUGAAACAUUGAACAAAAAGACAGUAAUUCCCCCUGGGAGCUGCACAAGUAUGACACCUUGUGCAAGGCGCAUCAUUUUGUACAAAAUUCAAUGAGAAUAUAAAUUUUUUCAGCAAGAGUAGAAGCGGUGAUUGAUUAUGCUUCGAAUGAUGGAAAGGGUUUUGAAUAAGUUGACCAGAAGCUUUUAUUGUCCUUAUUUUGUGAAGGAAAGAAAUUUCAACCACUCCAAAGGGAAAUGUACUACUGCUCUUUUCUUGAUUAUCUAUAUUGGUUUUAUUUUGAAUUUGA